GACGAACGCUGGCGGCGUGCCUAAUACAUGCAAGUCGAGCGGGCCUCCGGAGGUGCUUGCACCUCCGGACGGCCAGCGGCGGACGGGUGAGUAACACGUGGGCAACCUGCCUUUGAGGCCGGGAUAACACCGGGAAGCCGGUGCUAAUACCGGGUACGUCCUCUUUCGCGCCUGCGAGAGGGGAGAAAGACGGUCUUUAAGGCCGUCGCUCAAAGAGGGGCCCGCGGCGCAUUAGCUGGUUGGUGGGGCAAGGGCCUACCAAGGCGACGAUGCGUUGCCGACCUGAGAGGGUGAUCGGCCACACUGGGACUGAGACACGGCCCAGACUCCUGCGGGAGGCAGCCGUAGGGAAUCAUCCGCAAUGGGCGAAAGCCUGACGGUGCAACGCCGCGUGAGUGAGGAAGGUUUUCGGAUCGUAAAGCUCUGUUGUGAGGGAAGAACAGCAUCCGGAGGAAAUGCCGGAGGUUUGCCGGUACCUCACCAGAAAGCCCCGGCUAACUACGUGCCAGCCGCCGCGGUAACAC
rnacentral:rRNA from 1 species